CCGGGCGGCUGCAGUGGGGAAUAUUGGACAAUGGGCGAAAGCCUGAUCCAGCCAUGCCGCGUGUGUGAAGAAGGCCUUCGGGUUGUAAAGCACUUUCAGUGGGGAAGAAAGCCUUGGGGCUAAUACCCUCGAGGAAGGACAUCACCCACAGAAGAAGCACCGGCUAACUCCGUGCCAGCAGCCGCGGUAAUACGGAGGGUGCGAGCGUUAAUCGGAAUUACUGGGCGUAAAGCGCGCGUAGGCGGUCUGAUAAGCCGGUUGUGAAAGCCCCGGGCUCAACCUGGGAACGGCAUCCGGAACUGUCAGGCUAGAGUGCAGGAGAGGAAGGUAGAAUUCCCGGUGUAGCGGUGAAAUGCGUAGAGAUCGGGAGGAAUACCAGUGGCGAAGGCGGCCUUCUGGACUGACACUGACGCUGAGGUGCGAAAGCGUGGGUAGCAAACAGGAUUAGAUACCCUGGUAGUC
rnacentral:rRNA from 1 species